CUUCUACUCCCUCUGUUACGAAUUACUUGCCGCACAUAUGGAUGUAUCUAGAUGUAUUUUAGUUCUAGAUACAUCCAUUUCAAUGACGAGUAAUUUGGGAUGGAGGGAAUAUGAA
rnacentral:pre_miRNA from 1 species